rnacentral:rRNA from 1 species
GACGAACGCUGGCGGCGUGCUUAACACAUGCAAGUCGAACGGUGAAGGGGUCUGCUUUUGUGGGCCCUGGAUGAGUGGCGACCGGGUGAGUAACACGUGAGUAACCUGCCCCCUUCUUCUGGAUAACCGCAUGAAAGUGUGGCUAAUACGGGAUAUUCUGGGUCUGUCGCAUGAUGGGUCUGGGAAAGAUUGCGCCUUUGGGUGUUUUUGGUGGGGGAUGGGCUCGCGGCCUAUCAGCUUGUUGGUGGGGUGAUGGCCUACCAAGGCGGUGACGGGUAGCCGGCCUGAGAGGGUGGACGGUCACACUGGGACUGAGACACGGCCCAGAGUCCUACGGGAGGCAGCAGUGGGGAAUAUUGCACAAUGGGCGCAAGCCUGAUGCAGCGACGCCGCGUGAGGGAGGGAGGCCUUCGGGUUGUAAACCUCUUUCGCCAGUGAAGCAGGCCUGCUCCUUGUGGGUGGGUUGACGGUAGCUGGAGAAGAAGCGCCGGCUAACUACGUG